AUCCGAAGUUCACAGCCUAAGACUCUAGCUGGGUUGGACCACACACAAGAGGGCAAGACACCAGGACUGCUGGCUGAGGUGCACUUCGAGGGUGGUCCAGAGAUUCCUCUCAACCCCCUUCACAGCCCGUCCUGAGGGGUAAAUUGGAGUGCAGAGGUGUGACCUGCAGCCAGGCCUCCAGCAGCCCCAGCUGGAUCCUCUGAAGUGGGUCUGGGCAAACUGGCCACAGCAGUUUGCUCCCUGGGGCCACUAUGACACAUACACAGUACCUGGCUCAGCAGAUGCUCAGCAGAUAUCACUGAUGGUGACCAGGACACAGGUUCCCACCCUAAUUCUCAUCACUGCACCCAAACUGCAGGUCUGGCUGCUCUUCUUGCUGGCUGAGCCCCUGACAGGCCCAGAUGCUGACCUAGCAGCAAGUAGGCCUGGAGCUCGGUGCCAAUGUC
rnacentral:lncRNA from 1 species